rnacentral:rRNA from 1 species
CGGUGAUGGAUGGGCAUGCGUCUGAUUAGUUAGUUGGUGAGGUAACGGCUCACCAAGGCGACGAUCAGUAGGGGGUCUGAGAGGAUGAUCCCCCACACUGGCACUGAGAUACGGGCCAGACUCCUACGGGAGGCAGCAGUAGGGAAUAUUGGUCAAUGGGCGAGAGCCUGAACCAGCCAUGCCGCGUGCAGGAAGACGGCCUUCUGGGUUGUAAACUGCUUUUCUACGGGAAUAAAAAGGUUCUGCGGGACAAAUUGCAUGUACCGUAGGAAUAAGCACCGGCUAACUCCGUGCCAGCAGCCGCGGUAAUACGGAGGGUGCAAGCGUUGUCCGGAUUUAUUGGGUUUAAAGGGUGCGUAGGCGGAUAAUUAAGUCAGGGGUGAAAGGCAUUGGCUCAACCAAUGAAUUGCCUUUGAUACUGGUUAUCUUGAGUUCAGUUGAGGUGGGCGGAAUUUAUGGUGUAGCGGUGAAAUGCAUAGAUACCAUAAAGAACACCGAUAGCGUAGGCAGCUCACUAAGCUGAAACUGACGCUGAGGCACGAAAGCAUGGGGAGCGAACAGGAUUAGAUACCCUGGUAGUCCAUGCUGUAAACGAUGAUCACUCGCUGUUGACCCUAGAUGGUCAGUGGCUUAGCGAAAGCGUUAAGUGAUCCACCUGGGGAGUACGUC